AACGAACGCUGGCGGCAGGCCUAACACAUGCAAGUCGAACGAAGCCUUCGGGCUUAGUGGCGCACGGGUGCGUAACGCGUGGGAAUAUGCCCUUCACUGCGGAAUAAUGUCUGGAAACGGACACUAAUACCGCAUAAUGACUCCGGUCCAAAGAUUUAUCGGUGAAGGAUUAGCCCGCGUCUGAUUAGUUAGUUGGUGAGGUAACGGCUCACCAAGACGAUGAUCAGUAGCUGGUCUGAGAGGAUGAUCAGCCACACUGGAACUGAGACACGGUCCAGACUCCUACGGGAGGCAGCAGUGAGGAAUAUUGGACAAUGGGCGCAAGCCUGAUCCAGCCAUGCCGCGUGAAUGAAGAAGGCCUUAGGGUUGUAAGGUUCUUUCAAUUGUGAAGAUUAUGACGGUAGCAAUAGAAGAAGCUCCGGCUAAAUUCGUGCCAGCAGCCGCCGUAACAC
rnacentral:rRNA from 1 species